UACGUAGGGGGGCAAGCGUUUGUCCGGAAUCAUUGGGCGUAAAGAGCGUGUAGGCGGCCUGAUAAGUCGGUUGUGAAAGUCAAGGGCUCAACCCUUGAAUGCCGGCCGAUACUGUCAGGCUAGAGUCCGGAAGAGGCGAGUGGAAUUCCUGGUGUAGCGGUGAAAUGCGCAGAUAUCAGGAGGAACACCGAUGGCGAAGGCAGCUCGCUGGGACGGUACUGACGCUGAGACGCGAAAGCGUGGGGAGCGAACAGG
rnacentral:rRNA from 1 species